GUGCUUUUAAGGUCUCAUGAUGUAAUUUUUCUUUCAAUUGUCAUACGCAGGGGCAGAGGGAAAGCUUCCCUUUUGUUCUCUCUAAAGAUUUGCUAAAGGCUGUGCGCGGUGGCUCACGCCUGAAAUCCUAGCUCCUAGCACUUUGGGAGGCUGAGGUGGGUGGAUUACCUGAGCUCAGGAGUUAGAGACCAGCCUGAGCAACACGCGGAAACCCUGUCUCU
rnacentral:lncRNA from 1 species